GAUGAACGCUAGCGACAGGCUUAAUACAUGCAAGUCGUGGGGCAGCAUGAGUAGCAAUACUUGAUGGCGACCGGCAAACGGGUGAGGAACACGUACACAACCUUCCUUCAAGCGGGGAAUAGCCCAGAGAAAUUUGGACUAAUACCCCAUAAUAUAUUUGAUAAGGCAUCUUAUUAAUAUUAAAGCUUCGGCACUUGACGAUGGGUGUGCGGCUGAUUAGAUAGUUGGCGGGGUAACGGCCCACCAAGUCUACGAUCAGUAGCUGAUGUGAGAGCAUGAUCAGCCACACGGGCACUGAGACACGGGCCCGACUCCUACGGGAGGCAGCAGUAAGGAAUAUUGGACAAUGGACGAAAGUCUGAUCCAGCCAUGCCGCGUGAAGGAUUAAGGUCCUCUGGAUUGUAAACUUCUUUUAUAUGGGACGAAAAAGGGCGAUUCUUGUUCACUUGACGGUACCAUAUGAAUAAGCACCGGCUAACUCCGUGCCAGCAGCCG
rnacentral:rRNA from 1 species